CACGCAGGCGGUUUAUUAAGUCUGAUGUGAAAGCCCGGAGCUCAACUCCGGAAUGGCAUUGGAAACUGGUUAACUUGAGUGCAGUAGAGGUAAGUGGAACUCCAUGUGUAGCGGUGGAAUGCGUAGAUAUAUGGAAGAACACCAGUGGCGAAGGCGGCUUACUGGACUGCAACUGACGUUGAGGCUCGAAAGUGUGGGUAGCAAACA
rnacentral:rRNA from 1 species